AGGUUAUCUAGUCCAACUUCCCUGCAAUGAACA
rnacentral:miRNA from 7 species